rnacentral:rRNA from 1 species
AUUGAACGCUGGCGGCAUGCCUUACACAUGCAAGUCGAACGGUAACAGGCCGCAAGGUGCUGACGAGUGGCGAACGGGUGAGUAAUGCAUCGGAACGUGCCCAGUCGUGGGGGAUAACUGCUCGAAAGAGCAGCUAAUACCGCAUACGACCUGAGGGUGAAAGCGGGGGACCGUAAGGCCUCGCGCGAUUGGAGCGGCCGAUGUCAGAUUAGCUAGUUGGUGGGGUAAAGGCCUACCAAGGCAACGAUCUGUAGUUGGUCUGAGAGGACGGCCAGCCACACUGGGACUGAGACACGGCCCAGACUCCUACGGGAGGCAGCAGUGGGGAAUUUUGGACAAUGGGCGCAAGCCUGAUCCAGCAAUGCCGCGUGCAGGAAGAAGGCCUUCGGGUUGUAAACUGCUUUUGUCAGGGAAGAAAUCUUCUGGGCUAAUACCCCGGGAGGAUGACGGUACCUGAAGAAUAAGCACCGGCUAACUACGUGCCAGCAGCCGCGGUAACAC